rnacentral:rRNA from 1 species
UACGUAGGGUCCGAGCGUUGUCCGGAAUUAUUGGGCGUAAAGAGCUCGUAGGCGGUCCGUCAUGUCGGGUGUGAAAAUCCAGGGCUCAACCCUGGACCUGCACCCGAUACGGGCGGACUAGAGUUCGGUAGGGGAGACUGGAAUUCCUGGUGUAGCGGUGAAAUGCGCAGAUAUCAGGAAGAACACCUAUGGCGAAGGCAGCUCUCUGGGACGGUACUGACGCUGAGACGCGAAAGCGUGGGGAGCGAACAGG